GACCAUUAGUUUCCACUGCAGUGUUUGCAGGUGGAGUCGAAUGUAACCCCCCGGGAAUGGAGCCGGGAGGGUCAGAGAACGCGGCUGCGCUCUGGAUCUCCGAAGGGGGGCGGGGGCCUGGAAGAGGUCCGGGCCCAGAAUGGACCUCCAGGUCCCUGCUGCCGCAAUCCGGCCCUACCCUCCAGCCUACCCCUUACUCCCAGAGGAAGGGACCCAGGGAGACCCACGCAGAUGCCCUGAAAGGAGGUGGAGGAUGGGGGUGGGGCAAUACGCAGAGUUUGUCUGGUGAAUGCAGGAAAGGGGUGGGGGCUGGAGAGGAAAAGGAUGGAGCAGCCGUCAGCUUGUCAACUCCGCAUCUGCUGGCUGCCUCGGCCGGGCUCCAGCCUGCGCCCUCGCCCCUCGGAACAGCGGGACCCACCACCCUCUCUCAGGCACCUUCAGGAUCUGGUACUGUUCUGGAGUGGCCCGUUGCAGACACUGAACCACCAGCCAGCUGCAUUUGUUGUCCUGGAUGUCAGUGCCAAUUUUGCCGGUCACACUGGGGUCCCCAAAGAGGUCAAGGCACGCUGCAAUCCUGUACCCUGAAACCAGCUAGAUGAGCAUGUCCUAUAGAGGCCAAGGCUACCAUGAGCACCCUCUGGGCAUCGGGCCCUGUCUGCAAUACACCUGCAGGAAGAGCUCGAUCAGGUUCAGAUCUGUCCCCGGCGGGUAAGGGAUGAAUCCAUGAUGUCAUCUGCCACCAGGAAGAAAGCUUGCAGCUAGAAAGAGUGGAAUAAGACCUGCAGGGCUCCUCAUUACUGUUCCUUCUAUCAGCAACAGAGCUGCUACUUUAUAUCUGUAUAUAGUUUUGCUUUUUUUUUGGUGGGGGACAGAGUCUCACUAUUAUCCAGUGCAGUGGUGCAAUCACGGCUCACUGUAGCCUCUAACUCCCAGGCUCAAGUGAUCCUCCCACUUCAGCUUCCUGAGUUCCUGAGACCAUAGGCACAUACCCCAUGCCUGGCUAUUUUUUUUUUAAUUUAUUUUUUGUAGAGACAGGGUCCCACUAUGUUGCUCAGGCUGGUUUUGAACCCCUGGGUUCAAAUGAUCCUCCUGCCUCAGCCUCCCAAAUUACUGGGAUUACAGGCAUGAGGCAUCACAGCCGGCCAGAGCUGCUGCCUUUGACAGUCCCUAUGAGCUGGGAAAGUCAGGAUGGGGAGACAGAAGACUUCUGUGCUAUGGAGACUUGGGAAGUGACAUAACAUGUUUGGCUCAGACUCCCCGCCUAUAAAAUGGAACUAAAACACUGUUGUUUUAGGUAAGAAACUAGAACAGAUCUUUGACAUCUCUAAUGAGCCCUAGAUUAUGCCUGGUGUCAGGGAGAUUAGGAAACACCUUCAUAUACCGUACUCUAUUCUUGCCAAAAACCUCAAUGAAUGCUUAAAGUAAGAUCUAUUCAUGAAACUGACUUUACAUUACUUCCUAAAUAAAAGAAGGCUAUUCCCACAUUGCCCCCAGCACUGUGUUUGAACACCCCGGUGACUAGGAACACAGCCUUACCUAAAGCAGCUCCUUAGCAGUGCAGGUCUAAUAAGGUAGAACUGAAAUCUGACUUUGACCUAUGAGUCUCAGACAUCUUUAAACAUCUUUAAACAUUAACUAAGGGCUUACUCUUCUGAGUGCCCAUCUGAAGGUACCUGAACGUGUCGGGUUUCCCACUAGACCAUGAACUCCUUGGAAGCAGGGACAGUAACUUCUCCCUCUUAGCAUUUGCAGAGCCUAGCACAGCACUAGGCCUGGAGUGAGAGUUUCCUAAACACUUGUCUGACAAAGAAAUUAAUAAAACACUCUAACAUUC
rnacentral:antisense_RNA from 1 species